CCUACGGGUGGCAGCAGUGGGGGAUAUUGCACAAUGGGGGAAACCCUGAUGCAGCGACGCCGCGUGAGUGAUGAAGUAUUUCGGUAUGUAAAGCUCUAUCAGCAGGGAAGAAAAUUACCGUACCUGAUCAAGAAGCACCGGCCAACUACGUGCCAGCAGCCGCGGUAAUACGCAGGGGGCAAGCGUUAUCCGGAUUUACUGGUUGUAAAGGGAGCGUAGACGGUUAUGCAAGUCUGGAGUGAAAGCCCGGGGCCCAACCUCGGGACUGCUUUGGAUACUGUGUAACUGGAGUACAGGAGGGGCAGGCGGAAUGCCUGGUGUAGCGGUGAAAUGCGUAGAUAUCAGGAGGAACACCGGCGGCGAAGGCGGCCUGCUGGACUGAAACUGACGUUGAGGCACGAAAGCGUGGGGAGCAAACAGGAUUAGAUACCCGUGUAGUC
rnacentral:rRNA from 1 species